rnacentral:rRNA from 1 species
AUUGAACGCUGGCGGCAGGCCUAACACAUGCAAGUCGAACGAGUGGCGGACGGGUGAGUAAUGUCUGGGAAACUGCCCGAUGGAGGGGGAUAACUACUGGAAACGGUAGCUAAUACCGCAUACCAUCGGAUGUGCCCAGAUGGGAUUAGCUAGUAGGUGGGGUAACGGCUCACCUAGGCGACGAUCCGUAGCUGGUCUGAGAGGAUGACCAGCCACCAUGGAACUGAGACAAGGUCCAGACUCCUACGGGAGGCAGCAGUGGGGAAUAUUGCACAAAGGGCGAAAGCCUGAGGCAGCCAUGCCGCGUGUAUGAAGAGGGCCGUCGGGUUGUAAAGUACUUUCAGCGAGGAGGCGUUACUCGCAAAAGAAGCACCGGCUAACUCCGUGCGAGCAGCCGCGGUAAUAC